rnacentral:rRNA from 2 species
GUUGUCGUCAGCUCGUGUCGUGAGAUGUUUGGUUAAGUCCUGCAACGAGCGCAACCCUUAUCCUUAGUUACUACCAUUCAGUUGAGGACUCUAAGGAGACUGCCCGAGUAAUCGGGAGGAAGGUGGGGAUGACGUCAAAUCAUCAUGCCUCUUACGAGUGGGGCAACACACGUGCUACAAUGGCCGGUACAAAGAGAAGCGAAGUGGUGACAUGGAGCAAACCUCAAAAAACCGGUCUCAGUUCGGAUUGUAGUCUGCAACUCGACUACAUGAAGUCGGAAUCGCUAGUAAUCGUAGAUCAC